rnacentral:rRNA from 1 species
GGGUUGUGAGGUUAAGCGACUAAGCGUACACGGUGGAUGCCCUGGCAGUCAGAGGCGAUGAAGGACGUGCUAAUCUGCGAUAAGCGUCGGUAAGGUGAUAUGAACCGUUAUAACCGGCGAUUUCCGAAUGGGGAAACCCAGUGUGUUUCGACACACUAUCAUUAACUGAAUCCAUAGGUUAAUGAGGCGAACCGGGGGAACUGAAACAUCUAAGUACCCCGAGGAAAAGAAAUCAACCGAGAUUCCCCCAGUAGCGGCGAGCGAACGGGGAGCAGCCCAGAGCCUGAAUCAGUGUGUGUGUUAGUGGAAGCGUCUGGAAAGGCGCGCGAUACAGGGUGACAGCCCCGUACACAAAAAUACACAUAUUGUGAGCUCGAUGAGUAGGGCGGGACACGUGGUAUCCUGUCUGAAUAUGGGGGGACCAUCCUCCAAGGCUAAAUACUCCUGACUGACCGAUAGUGAACCAGUACCGUGAGGGAAAGGCGAAAAGAACCCCGGCGAGGGGAGUGAAAAAGAACCUGAAACCGUGUACGUACAAGCAGUGGGAGCACGCUUAGGCGUGUGACUGCGUACCUUUUGUAUAAUGGGUCAGCGACUUAUAUUCUGUAGCAAGGUUAACCGAAUAGGGGAGCCGAAGGGAAACCGAGUCUUAACUGGGCGUUAAGUUGCAGGGUAUAGACCCGAAACCCGGUGAUCUAGCCAUGGGCAGGUUGAAGGUUGGGUAACACUAACUGGAGGACCGAACCGACUAAUGUUGAAAAAUUAGCGGAUGACUUGUGGCUGGGGGUGAAAGGCCAAUCAAACCGGGAGAUAGCUGGUUCUCCCCGAAAGCUAUUUAGGUAGCGCCUCGUGAACUCAUCUCCGGGGGUAGAGCACUGUUUCGGCAAGGGGGUCAUCCCGACUUACCAACCCGAUGCAAACUGCGAAUACCGGAGAAUGUUAUCACGGGAGACACACGGCGGGUGCUAACGUCCGUCGUGAAGAGGGAAACAACCCAGACCGCCAGCUAAGGUCCCAAAGUCAUGGUUAAGUGGGAAACGAUGUGGGAAGGCCCAGACAGCCAGGAUGUUGGCUUAGAAGCAGCCAUCAUUUAAAGAAAGCGUAAUAGCUCACUGGUCGAGUCGGCCUGCGCGGAAGAUGUAACGGGGCUAAACCAUGCACCGAAGCUGCGGCAGCGACACUAUGUGUUGUUGGGUAGGGGAGCGUUCUGUAAGCCUGCGAAGGUGUACUGUGAGGUAUGCUGGAGGUAUCAGAAGUGCGAAUGCUGACAUAAGUAACGAUAAAGCGGGUGAAAAGCCCGCUCGCCGGAAGACCAAGGGUUCCUGUCCAACGUUAAUCGGGGCAGGGUGAGUCGACCCCUAAGGCGAGGCCGAAAGGCGUAGUCGAUGGGAAACAGGUUAAUAUUCCUGUACUUGGUGUUACUGCGAAGGGGGGACGGAGAAGGCUAUGUUGGCCGGGCGACGGUUGUCCCGGUUUAAGCGUGUAGGCUGGUUUUCCAGGCAAAUCCGGAAAAUCAAGGCUGAGGCGUGAUGACGAGGCACUACGGUGCUGAAGCAACAAAUGCCCUGCUUCCAGGAAAAGCCUCUAAGCAUCAGGUAACAUCAAAUCGUACCCCAAACCGACACAGGUGGUCAGGUAGAGAAUACCAAGGCGCUUGAGAGAACUCGGGUGAAGGAACUAGGCAAAAUGGUGCCGUAACUUCGGGAGAAGGCACGCUGAUAUGUAGGUGAAGCGACUUGCUCGUGGAGCUGAAAUCAGUCGAAGAUACCAGCUGGCUGCAACUGUUUAUUAAAAACACAGCACUGUGCAAACACGAAAGUGGACGUAUACGGUGUGACGCCUGCCCGGUGCCGGAAGGUUAAUUGAUGGGGUCAGCGCAAGCGAAGCUCUUGAUCGAAGCCCCGGUAAACGGCGGCCGUAACUAUAACGGUCCUAAGGUAGCGAAAUUCCUUGUCGGGUAAGUUCCGACCUGCACGAAUGGCGUAAUGAUGGCCAGGCUGUCUCCACCCGAGACUCAGUGAAAUUGAACUCGCUGUGAAGAUGCAGUGUACCCGCGGCAAGACGGAAAGACCCCGUGAACCUUUACUAUAGCUUGACACUGAACAUUGAGCCUUGAUGUGUAGGAUAGGUGGGAGGCUUAGAAGUGUGGACGCCAGUCUGCAUGGAGCCGACCUUGAAAUACCACCCUUUAAUGUUUGAUGUUCUAACGUUGACCCGUAAUCCGGGUUGCGGACAGUGUCUGGUGGGUAGUUUGACUGGGGCGGUCUCCUCCUAAAGAGUAACGGAGGAGCACGAAGGUUGGCUAAUCCUGGUCGGACAUCAGGAGGUUAGUGCAAUGGCAUAAGCCAGCUUGACUGCGAGCGUGACGGCGCGAGCAGGUGCGAAAGCAGGUCAUAGUGAUCCGGUGGUUCUGAAUGGAAGGGCCAUCGCUCAACGGAUAAAAGGUACUCCGGGGAUAACAGGCUGAUACCGCCCAAGAGUUCAUAUCGACGGCGGUGUUUGGCACCUCGAUGUCGGCUCAUCACAUCCUGGGGCUGAAGUAGGUCCCAAGGGUAUGGCUGUUCGCCAUUUAAAGUGGUACGCGAGCUGGGUUUAGAACGUCGUGAGACAGUUCGGUCCCUAUCUGCCGUGGGCGCUGGAGAACUGAGGGGGGCUGCUCCUAGUACGAGAGGACCGGAGUGGACGCAUCACUGGUGUUCGGGUUGUCAUGCCAAUGGCACUGCCCGGUAGCUAAAUGCGGAAGAGAUAAGUGCUGAAAGCAUCUAAGCACGAAACUUGCCCCGAGAUGAGUUCUCCCUGACCCUUUAAGGGUCCUGAAGGAACGUUGAAGACGACGACGUUGAUAGGCCGGGUGUGUAAGCGCAGCGAUGCGUUGAGCUAACCGGUACUAAUGAACCGUGAGGCUUAACCUUACAACGCCGAAGCUGUU